UGCUAGUUUUUUUACUUAAUUAGCUUAAUUUUGUAGUUCUUUAUUCCUAUAUUCUUAAGAAAUAUAAAUAUUUAUGCUAAUAGCAUAAAUCUUGAGAGAAAAUUUUUUUAAUUUAAUAGCCGAAUUUUUUAUCCCGAAUUUUUAAUUGGUGAACGUAUAAUAUCCGUAUAAAUCACGUAUCCGAAUAAUUGAUAAUUCCGUUUUUUAGCCGUAUUUUUUAACGAACUUAAAAAUUAGAAGACGAAUUUUAUCUGAAUUAUAAUAUUAAGAUUUGUAACGACCUGAGACUCGUCGCAACCGCCUUCGUCGAGUAGUUGUCGAGGCGUGGAUGGCGACGGGGCUCUUGGUGAUAAUUGCGAGGUAAAAUUGUUGCUUUUUUUUUUUAGAGAGAGAUAGGUAGCACGCUACCCGCUUCGUUUAUUUAAUUUAGAAAUAAACUUAGCUAGAAAUGUGAAUCAACUAGAAUUCGAACUUGGGUCUUGGUUACCAACCAUCAAGCCCUUUGCCACUUGCUCUAGGGACGGUCGGUGAGGUAAAAUUGUUGCUGGAGUCGAUUGGAGGAGAGGUAAGGGUUGUGAGGUGAGAGAAUUGAGAGAGAAUUGAGUGGGAGAGAUGGGGAUUAGAGAAGAGGAGGGUUAGGAAACAGCGAGUUGGAAGAGGAUUGGGGGAAGAAGCCUGUAAUAUUUUCAUUCAU
rnacentral:lncRNA from 1 species